rnacentral:rRNA from 1 species
UUGACCUCAAAUCAAGCAAGACUACCCGCUGAACUUAAGCAUAUCAAUAAGCGGAGGAAAAGAAACUAACAAGGAUUCCCCUAGUAACUGCGAGUGAAGCGGGAAAAGCUCAAAUUUAAAAUCUGGUAGUGCUUCACUGCCCGAGUUGUAAUCUAGAGAAGUGUUGCUCACACUGGACCAUGUAUA